AGCUUUGCGCAGUGGCAGUAUCGUAGCCAAUGAGGUUUAUCCGAGGCGCGAUUAUUGCUAAUUGAAAAAAUAUUCAAGGCACCUGGGUGGCUCAGUCAGUUAAGCUUCCAGCUUUGGCUCAGGUCAUGAUCU
rnacentral:snRNA from 1 species